rnacentral:lncRNA from 1 species
AGCUUAAAUUGCAUAUCAUUGUUUGUUAAUGACUAAUAUGUGCAUAUGCUUAAUUCAUAUCUUUAAUGCACUCUUUGUUCUUACACUUUUUCAUGAUUUUUGUUCAUAUAAUGUAAAAUCAUCUCUUUCAAAAUAUCAUGCUAAGUGUUAAAUGAAUGAACAUUGUUGCUAUGCAAAAUCAUCUUUCUACACCUUUGCAAGGAAUACAUUUUCAAAAAUGCUAUACUCAUAUUGCUAUCAAAGUUUUUGUUAAGGGUUAUUUUAUCAAGUUAGAUUUUCUCCAUAUGUCUUAGUCACAUUUUUUCAAUGAUCAAUUUUAUUUUGACAUANNNNNNNNNNNNNNNNNNNNNNNNNNNNNNNNNNNGGAGUUAGUCUCUUAAUUAUCCUUCAUGAUAGACCAAAACUUUUAGAACAAGAAAAAUGACAUAAAACUCAUAAUUUUGAUAAACAAUUAUAUGUCAUAUUUGUUCUUACAUAAGUCCGGCUUAUAGUAUAAUUUCUUUUUUAUGAAAACACAUUUUUUCUAUAAGUCUUUUAUAUGUGCACCGCUCUCAAUUUAAAACUUUGGAUGAAUCCAAUUUUGUUGCACAUCUUGAUUAGCCUAUAGUUUGCUUAAUUGAUUAUUAAGUAGAACUUUUUGAACAUGGCUACUCAAAAAUUGAGAUUUUGUAAAAGAUCAUCCUUCAAAGGUUUUAAAUGAAUAUCCAUUUUUUGUUGGAUUUAUUAUUUGAAGGAUUUUAACAAGAGAACAUAUGAUUGGUCUUCAUGAGAAUAAUUUGUGUGUCUACUCUCCAUAAAAUUAGAAUUUGGUCUAAGAAUAAUAGUUCUUUCACAU